rnacentral:rRNA from 1 species
UGGGGAAUAUUGGACAAUGGGGGCAACCCUGAUCCAGCCAUGCCGCGUGAGUGAAGAAGGCCCUAGGGUUGUAAAACUCUUUCGGCGGGGAAGAUGAUGACGGUACCCGCAGAAGAAGCCCCGGCUAACUCCGUGCCAGCAGCCGCGGUAAUACGGAGGGGGCUAGCGUUGUUCGGAAUCACUGGGCGUAAAGCGCGCGUAGGCGGUCCGCAUAGUCAGGCGUGAAAGCCCCGGGCUCAACCUGGGAACUGCGUUUGAUACUGGCGGGCUAGAGUACGGGAGAGGGUAGUGGAAUUCCCAGUGUAGAGGUGAAAUUCGUAGAUAUUGGGAAGAACACCAGUGGCGAAGGCGGCUACCUGGACCGUUACUGACGCUGAGGUGCGAAAGCGUGGGGAGCAAACAGGAUUAGAUACCCCCGUAGUCC